AUGACCAGCCGGGCCGCCCCGAGGCAGGAGCGCGGCGGGGCCGCAGGGGUCGCAGCCCCGGGCAGGUGCACGACCAGCCGGGCCGCCCCGAGGCAGGUGCGCGGCCCCGGGCAGGUGCACGGCCAGCCGGGCCGUCCCGAGGUAGGUGCGCGGCGGGGCCGCAGGGAUCGCAGCCGCGGGCAGGUGCGCGCCCCGCCGGCGGGCUCUCGGCUCCGGGGCCGCGGCGCGAACAGCUUCCCUCGAAGCGCAGCCCCGCUCGGAGCCGAAUCCCCGCCCCCCCAGGCUCAAACGGACGCGGGCUCGCGGCGCGGCCACCACCGGACGCCGCCGGCCCGGCCCGGCUCCAGGGCCUCCCGGACCGAGCCCGCCGCCCCUCUCCCCCCGCGACGCCCCGCGGCUGGGUGCGGCGGGCUCGCUGGGGUCGCCCCGGCCGGCGAGCGCACCCCCGGCUGCAGCCCCGCGCUCGGGACCCCGAGGAGGCGGGCGCGCCCUCUGCCCGCCGACCGCGCUGCCGGCCCGCCCGCCCCCCACAAAGCCCAAGGGUGCCCGCUCCCCCCGACUCCCGCCAGUCCCAGCCCGGAGGCGAAACCGCCACCGAAACCCGCGCCGGGCGCCACCCCCGCCCCUCCGGGACCCGAGCCUCGAGCCCGCGCGGGGACCCCGGCCGCCCCGCGCCCCCCGCCCCCGCCCCGCAGCUCACUUGGCGGCGCACCUGACGCCGAGCGCGGCCCGCACGCAGCCGGGAGCCAGCCGAGGAAUGCGGCCAGCCCUUCGGCGCUCGCCGGCCCCCGCCCCCGCCCCCUCCCCUCCCCCCCCCCACCCCGUCCCCGGGCAUGCGCACCGGCGCCCCGCCCGACCUGGAGCCGCGCGGCCCCGCGUCCGCCUCACCUGUUGCGCCGCGCGGGCCCCUGCGCUCGGGCCGCACCCCGGAGCCCCGCCGCCUCCCGCAGGGACGGAGAAGGGGGCGGUGGCCGCCGGCGGGAGAGCGCGGGGCGCCGCCUCCUCCCUCCGUGA
rnacentral:lncRNA from 1 species